rnacentral:rRNA from 1 species
CAGUCGCCGCGGUAAUACGAAGGUGGCAAGCGUUGUCCGGAAUUAUUGGGCGUAAAGGGCUCGCAGGCGGUUUCUUAAGUCUGAUGUGAAAGCCCCCGGCUCAACCGGGGAGGGUCAUUGGAAACUGGGAAACUUGAGUGCAGAAGAGGAGAGUGGAAUUCCACGUGUAGCGGUGAAAUGCGCAGAGAUGUGGAGGAACACCAGUGGCGAAGGCGACUCUCUGGUCUGUAACUGACGCUGAGGAGCGAAAGCGUGGGGAGCGAACAGGAUUAGAUACCCGCGUAGUCCCUGUCUCUUAUAC